GCCUUUUUUUCAGCAUACCUGUAGAUUCACAGACACAAUUACUUUUUGCCUUUUCUUUUGAGGGUAAACAACUUACCUGGUGCAGAUUAUUGACGCACCUGUUGUCUCCAGGCCACAUUGAGGCCCUGGCAACCUCACCAUGGUUCAGUCCUGCUACAGUAUGCAGAUGAUCUGCUGCUCUGUAGUAAAACUGAGGAGGCCUGCCGAGAGGAUGGUGUUUCAUUACUAAACUGGCUUUGUGAAUGUGGACACAAGGUGUCCAAAAUAAAAAUGCAAUGGUGUAAAAAGCAUGUUGAUUACUUAGGUUUUGUGCUCACUCAGGGAGAGAGGAAAAUCAGUCCACAACGCAUACAGUCUGUAUUGGGCCUGGUCACCCCAACUACCCAGAAGGAACUACUGUCCUUCCUGGGUAUGGUAAAUUACUGCAGACAGUGGAUAUCUGAUUGCUCUUAUUAUGAUAACAUUUUGAGACAAGCCACACUGAAGGACAAGCCUAAAACUGUACAAUGGUCACAAGAAAUGUUAACUGCAUAUGAAAGUUUAAAAUGUAUGUUGAUAAAAAGUCCGGCACUUGGCCUCCCCAGUUAUGUGCUACCUUUCCAUCUAUAUGCAAGGGACAAUUGUAAAACCAUGGCGGGGGUGCUCACACAGUUUCAUGGAGGGAAGUUGCGCCCCGUGCAUUUUUUUUCCAAAGUCAUGCCAGUGUCUGUGCAAGGUAUGCCUGCCUGCCUCAGGGCUUUGGCAGCCUGUGCAAUGGUUGCAGAAAUGGCCACUACCCUCACUUUAGGCCACAUCACAGUACUCCACACCACACAUGAUGUCCUGGCAAUACUUAAAGGCUUACACACACAGUACAUGUCAGCACAACGCCUUAGUGGAUAUGAAGUACUCCUUUUGAGUAACCCUACCCUUACCAUUAAGUACACUGCUAGUUCUUCUGGCCCUGCACCCAUUCUCAAUGCCCUUUUAGGCUUGAAAGGUCCCGAGGAUGAACCACCCGACCUACAUGACUGUGCUGCUUCCAUUGAAGCUGAAACUUCUCCCAGACUUGACAUGUCUCCCGUUCCCAUACCAGGCGCAGACGUAGUUUUUGUUGACGGCUCAUGUAGUAGGCCCAAUGACAAUACAUACCAGGCUGGCUAUGCCAUUGUCACCCUCCCUGAUACUGUGUUGGAAACCCUACCAAUACCUUAUCAGUCCGCGCAAGCUGCAGAACUCAUUGCACUCACUAGAGCAUGUCCCUCCCUUGACAACGUCCAUCUGCUCACUCAACUUCAGGCUGCUGCGACUAGUGCUGGUCUCUCCGACUGGACUUACCCAAUUCUGCAGAAAAAAUCCUAAAUCAGGAUUAAUCUGCAAAGAGGGGAAACCCUGUGUGCCCCAGUCCAGUGCCCCUUUGCUCGUUGCCCAGUGCCGUGGUGUUGGUCACCGUGGUGAAGCCACAACACUCCUCCUACUAACCAAUGAUUUUUAUGUUACUAAUGCCAAAUCACUUGUGGACCAGUAUGUUAGCAGAUGCAUCACUUGCCUCAGGAACAACCCUAAUAAAGCUAAACACCAGCAUCUUGAAUACCCCACAGAAAACUCUAGGAUACUCACCCUUUGAAAUACUAAUGGGUAGACCCUUUUCCUACACCCUGGGCUAAGAAACCACUAGUAGUACAGGAAGGAGAUCUAGAACUCAUCAGGGAAGAGUAUGUCAGGUCCCUGAUAACAAAACUGAAUGAAAUUGAACAUGAGGUUGUUUGUAAAAACCCUUUGAAUCCACAGGAACCUACACACCCCUUUAAAGUCGGAGACAGAGUCGUGGUGAAGGUGCUCCCCAGGAACAAGAGCCCAGGAGACUUCACCUAUGGUCCAGAGACAGAGGUCGUAGCAGUUACCCGAACAGCAGUCCUGACAGAGGAAAGUCCUACCUGGAUCCAUGCAUCCCGAGUAAAAAAGGUUCCUAGACCAGACCUAGAGAGGGAAGCAAGUGAUUCCAGUGAGGUACGAACCGGGGCAGACAGCCCUGACCUCCCACCUAGCGAAGAAAGAAGAACAGAAGAAGAUGAGGAACCUGUCCCCUAUCUUUAUCCUGGGGACUACCUUGAUAGCCCUACUGGCCCUCACUCACCACACAAUAUGUGAGGUUGACAUCACACAAACAGAUGGGGUCCCCACCUUGUGGUACAAUUCCUCCAAUACACACGUAGCCACAUACAUCCUUGAUUAUUUUAUGUUCCCCAAAAUUGCUGAUGACAAAUAUUAUAUACAACAAAGGAGGAAAUCAGGAAUGUCUGAGACAGUAUAUAUUUGUGUUACUGACGAAUGGUACUAUAGUGCAAGACAAAUGUUUUAUUUGUGGGACAUGUAUAAAAACCCAAAAUACCAGCCUAAAAUUGCUCCCCAAAACAAACCUUUAAAGCCCCAUAUUGCCACUUCUAAAGAUAUGGUGGCUAUUACUAACCCUACCUUUGAAGACACCCUAGCUAUUGAAACUGGUUUCUCUGACAUUAAUUUUUGGUUGGAAUGGAUGAAGUAUAGUGCUAACAAACACAAUAAAAGCAACUGUUAUGUCUGUGGCAAGUCUAGGCCCCACCUAGGUACAGUGCCCCUUAAUAUACCCCUAGAACAGGAAAAUUGUUUUUUCAGCCUUUUUAAUGAUCACCGAUGACCCCACUCCUCCCUCUAAUACUCCUGCUAAUCGAAAGAAAAGAGCACUCCCAGGAGGUAGCUUUGACCCCCACGUAUACAUUGAUGCUAUAGGGGUCCCAAGAGGUGUUCCAAAUGAGUUCAAAGCUAGAGAUGAGGUGGCUGCGGGUUUUGAGUCAUUGUUCCCUAUAGUAACUGUAAAUAAAAACGUAGCCUGGAUUAAUUAUAUAUAUUAUAAUCAACAAAGAUUUGUUAAUGAUACCAAAGAUGCUCUUAAAGGUAUAGCUGAACAGCUAGAAGCCACUUCCCAAAUGACAUUUCAAAAUAGAAUGGCCCUUGACAUGAUCCUAGCAGAAAAAGGCGGUACAUGUGUUUACAUUAGUAAGGUGGAAGGCUGUUGUACAUAUAUUCCUGACAACACUGGUCCCAAUGGUAAGGUUACUUUAGCCAUAAACAAGUUAGAAACCUUAUCCAUAGAACUUAAGAAAAAUUCAGGUAUUGAUAACCCAUGGAGCCAAUAUUUUGGAUGGUUUGAUAAUUGGAAACAGGCUCUUGUGCAAAUAAGCAUAUUCAUACUUGUAACUUUAAUUCUUGUAGGCAUUAUAGUUUAUUGUGUAAUUCCCUGUGGAAAGAAACUUACCUCCAAAGGCAUUGAUAAGGCCCUGAUGUACUAUGAUAUAACCACCAGUCCUGUCACCUCCUCUGAUAGUGAGGGACCCGACGAUUAUGUCCAAUAUCUCAAGAACUGGAGGAACAAGAAAGGAGCCUCACUCAAGAAUCAUGUCAUAUAAUAAUCAUGAUUCUAAGAGGGGAUUGAAGGGUUACCUCUUCUGUCUUUGUAAAUAUUACUUUUUAUAUGAUCAAUUUCCUUAUAAUAGUUACAGUGUAAAAGUGAAUAUUUCUAUUUCCCUAGUGAAGGGUUAAAACAUGCUAUAUGAACUCUUAUGUGUUUGCAUGGAUGCGUGCUGCCCUGUGCUAGGUGCCUUUGUCUCUCAUACAGAUACCAGGCCUGUGUGGGUCUGGCAUCCAAGGUCAGUUCCAUACCAGAUGAAACUCGUUCUUUCUACCCAAAUAUACUGUGUUACAAAAACUUUGUUAAAUGUUUGAGAAACUUGUAGAAAACCCAUAUAUGGACAUCCGCCUUUUUCUGUUCUGCCUGGUAACUAUUAACGAACCAAUGGGAGUGUAACGACAUGUCAGUUACACCCAUAUGCAUUGUCAUAUAUACUUUUGUUAACUUCAUAAUAAACAGUGUGAAUUUUUA